rnacentral:rRNA from 1 species
CCCGUUCCCAUUCCGAACACGGUAGUUAAGCUCGCGAGUGCUGAAAAUACUUGGCUGGCAACGGCCCGGGAAGAUAAGUCGAUGCCGACA